UAACCUCUGACGAAGAAAUCGUGAAUGUUG
rfam:Polaribacter sp. SA4-12 genome.